AAAAGUUGAGUCAUAAAUCAUGCUGCUUUGAUAUGAGACAAAAAGGAACUUGUAUGCAUUAUAUAGCAUUAAUCUGAGUUGGAAUUUGUUGCAAAUUCUUUGCCUUCAAAAACAACUCUUUAUAGGUCCCCCACGUUCAACUUCACUAUAAAAUUUCAAGUACCCUCUCCUGAGCCAAGUUAUUUAGAUAACAUUAGGUUAUCAAUUUUUUACUAAAAUUUCCAAUUAAAGCUAAACAGACCUUUAAAGAUCUGGUUUCAACUGACAAUUCAAGCAUUAUGUCUUUGUUGAUCUUAAAUUAUCACGUGCAAUAUUUGGUUUGUUUUCUGAUUGAUGAAACAUUGAUAUUUUUCAGCUAAUUUUACCACUAUAACUAGCUGUUCUCAUUGAAUCACUGCUCCAAAGAAUUAUUCUCAAAAGCCAGACUUUAUCCAGAAUCUGAGUCAGUCAUCAAGUAAUAAUUUAUUUCAGUAAUUUUCCGACAGCAUAUCAAAAUAUACAUUUUUGUUUUACCUUCAAGCUAUCAUACAGGAAAUUCACUAUUUACUAAAAACAAAAGC